rnacentral:tRNA from 1 species
GCCGCGGUGGUGGAAUGGUAGACACGGAGGCCUUAAGAGCCUUUGCCCUUAAAAAGCGUGAGAGUUCGACUCUCUCCCGCGGCA